rnacentral:lncRNA from 1 species
UCACAUGGACUUGUACGUUUUGUUACGUUGUCACGUUGUACCAUCAAAAUCUGUUGCCAAACGGGCGGGAAAGCAGUUGUAAGGUGCAGCGGGGCAAGAAGAAGGUAUUUGGAAGCCACUUGAAAGUGACUUGAAGCUGACUUCAGAGUACGUGUGACGUGUGUGGUGUUUGACAAGCGAACCACGGAGCUUACUUAUGUUUGAGCUUUCACUGGAAGUCUAAUAAGUGGGAUGCUGCUAGAAAUGUUCUACUUCUGGAAUAUAAUCAUGACAACUGUCAUUGCAAGGCAAUGAGAGAGAGAAGCGAAAAUAUGAAAAGAAACAGGAUUGCUACUGGAAUCAAGGCAUUGUUCAAUCUAGAAAAAAGAGGCAAUGAUCACAAGUAACUUUUGUAGAACCAUCUGACCAAGAACCAGGCCCUUGUAGUGCAGGUUUGGAUCACAAUGAGGAAGAUCUCGAUAAACUUAACAUGGUUCAACUCCGUGAGAGGAUCAGAACAAAGAAAAUUCAAGCAAAGGGGCUAGCAAAAUUUAAAAAUUGUGAGCUAAUUGAGGUGCUAAAAAAGGCCCAGUGAAUGAGUCAGCAUAAUUUAUGCAAAGAACUCAGAUUAAACAAGCCAUUUGACUGUAAUUCAAUAGGAUUAGAAACAGUUGUAAGAUACAGAUGUAGUCACGUUAUUUUCUGAAAAAUUACCAGUGAGCCUUUAACAUUAACAAUGUAAAUGUGGCAGAGAAAUUUAGGCUAAAAUGGUUUUCAUCUGCUUUGAUUCUCAAUUUCUUUCCAUGGCAAUGAAUAGUGAUAAAAAUAAUAAUUAUUAUUAUCUAUGUUGAUACAAAGAAAUCUAUAAUCAAACCAGGUUAAAACCAUUUUAACCUGAGUUUCUUCUUUAACAUUACUUUCAUAUUAUAAUAGAAAUGGCUGUUUCACUUCUCUACAUCUCUGGCAAAAGUAUUUUGUUCAAGCUAGCUAGCAAUCCAUCUAAUUAAUUCAGGAUAAUAGCUGACCCCAGCCCCCUCCACAUUAAAAAAUAGAUUUGAUGAAAUGAGUAAAAUAAAAUGUACCGAGACAUUUUCUUACAAGCAUAAUUAACACUAUGUCUAUAUUAAGUUGACAGUAUAUUAUAUCAUAAUUAUAUUUGAAUUAUUUUCAUUCCAGACUUGAAAAAAUUAAUUCAUUGUUUUAUUGCUACAGUUCUGUUUCAUGAG